rnacentral:lncRNA from 1 species
CUGAAAGAAAAAUAAUUUUUUCUAUGCAUCGCAUUCUGACAUUCUGAUCCUGCAUGUCAGUCAAUUACCGCAGACGGCGCGCACAUUCUGCACUGCCCGCGAUGCACAAAGAAUUUCUCUACCUACUGAGGUCCAAAGACGUCCCACUAGACUGCCAGCCCACAAAGAAUUUCUCUACCUACUGAGGUCCACAGAGUCCCACUAGACUGCCAGCC